UGGGGAAUAUUGGGCAAUGGGCGAAAGCCUGACCCAGCAACGCCGCGUGAGGGAAGACGGUUUUCGGAUUGUAAACCUCUGUCUUCGGUGAAGAAACAAAUGACGGUAGCCAAGGAGGAAGCCCCGGCUAACUACGUGCCAGCAGCCGCGGUAAUACGUAGGGGGCGAGCGUUGUCCGGAAUUACUGGGCGUAAAGGGUGCGUAGGUGGCCUUUUAAGUUGGAUGUGAAAUACCCGGGCUUAACUUGGGGGGUGCAUCUAAUACUGGAGGGCUAGAGUGCAGGAGAGGAAAGCGGAAUUCCUAGUGUAGCGGUGAAAUGCGUAGAUAUUAGGAGGAACACCAGCGGCGCAGGCGGCUCACUAGACAGUUUCUGACGCUAAGAUACGAAAGCGUCGGGAGCAAACA
rnacentral:rRNA from 1 species